rnacentral:rRNA from 1 species
CUUGUCUCAAAGAUUAAGCCAUGCAUGUCUAAGUAUAAGCAAUUAUACCGCGAAACUGCGAAUGGCUCAUUAAAUCAGUUAUCGUUUAUUUGAUAGUACCUUACUACUUGGAUAACCGUGGUAAUUCUAGAGCUAAUACAUGCUAAAAAUCCCGACUUCGGAAGGGAUGUAUUUAUUAGAUUAAAAACCAAUGCCCUUCGGGGCUCCCUGGUGAUUCAUAAUAACUUCUCGAAUCGCAUGGCCUUGCGCCGGCGAUGGUUCAUUCAAAUUUCUGCCCUAUCAACUUUCGACGGCUGGGUCUUGGCCAGCCAUGGUGACAACGGGUAACGGAGGGUUAGGGCUCGACCCCGGAGAAGGAGCCUGAGAAACGGCUACUACAUCCAAGGAAGGCAGCAGGCGCGCAAAUUACCCAAUCCCGACGCGGGGAGGUAGUGACAAUAAAUACUGAUACAGGGCUCUUUUGGGUCUUGUAAUUGGAAUGAGUACAAUUUAAAUCCCUUAACGAGGAACAAUUGGAGGGCAAGUCUGGUGCCAGCAGCCGCGGUAAUUCCAGCUCCAAUAGCGUAUAUUAAAGUUGUUGCAGUUAAAAAGCUCGUAGUUGAACCUUGGGCCUGGCUGGCCGGUCCGCCUCACCGCGUGCACUGGUCCGGCCGGGCCUUUCCCUCUGGGGAACCGCAUGCCCUUCACUGGGUGUGCUGGGGAACCAGGACUUUUACUUUGAAAAAAUUAGAGUGUUCAAAGCAGGCCUAUGCUCGAAUACAUUAGCAUGGAAUAAUAGAAUAGGACGUGUGGUUCUAUUUUGUUGGUUUCUAGGACCGCCGUAAUGAUUAAUAGGGACAGUCGGGGGCAUCAGUAUUCAAUUGUCAGAGGUGAAAUUCUUGGAUUUAUUGAAGACUAACUACUGCGAAAGCAUUUGCCAAGGAUGUUUUCAUUAAUCAGGAACGAAAGUUAGGGGAUCGAAGACGAUCAGAUACCGUCGUAGUCUUAACCAUAAACUAUGCCGACCAGGGAUCGGACGAUGUUAUUUUUUGACUCGUUCGGCACCUUACACGAAAGUACAAGUUUCUGGGUUCUGGGGGGAGUAUGGUCGCAAGGCUGAAACUUAAAGGA